AUUAUGUGGGGGAUUCUGAGUACACAUGUUGUAAAUUGUCCUGUUAGUAGACUUAAGGAAACAAAAGGUGAAUCAAAUCCAAGUUAUCUACAUGCCUAACAGUGAGGGAGUCUAAAAGGAUACGUAUACAGCAUCAUAUAGUCCUCUGAGCUGAACUGAGGCUCAGGCAGCCCUUCUAGAAUGUUCUUCAGCUUUGUAAUGCCCCUUUGCAUGAAGUCCCAUCCAUGUUCCAGAUCGAUUGUGCUACGAUGGUUCAUUGUGAUUUCAAUAUCUUCACAAUUUAACAGAAUGCAACCCUACACAAAUUCCAAACACCUGUGG